UACGUAGGGGGCGAGCGUUGUCCGGAGUUACUGGGCGUAAAGGGCAUGCAGGCGGUCGGACGCGUUUCGGGUGACAGCGGGUGGCUUAACUACCCGAGUGGUCGAAAGACGGUUUGACUUGAGGACGCGAGAGGGACACGGAAUUCCGGGUGGAGUGGUGAAAUGCGUAGAGAUCAUGAGGAAGACCAGUGGCGAAGGCGGGUCUCUGGACAGUUCCUGACACUGAGACACGAAGGCUAGGGGAGCAAACGGG
rnacentral:rRNA from 1 species